rnacentral:lncRNA from 1 species
AUCCAACCCGACCGUCUACUUGAUGCGGAAUUCUACAUACAAUUGUCAAUGCAAGUCUUCUAAAUGUUCAAGAAUUUUUAGCCCAAUCCAACUUACAAAUUGUGAGAAAUCCUCCAAAAAUUGCACCAAUGUCACUCGGUCACCAACUUGAAAAGUGAAGCAAAAAUCCCAGCAAUGAUUUCUUCUUCUCCAACUAUUAAAUUUUUUUCAAAAUUGGUGUGUAUUUUGAUCUUUAAGUCUUCCAAUAGCAUGCCAAUUUUCAUCUUAAUCCGACUAAUAGAUCUUUAGAUAUCAUAGAAACCCUACUUAACCUCAAACUGCCACCUUCUGAAACCCUCUUGUGCUAAAAACUAGAUAUCUCUAAACCACGCCAUUAGAUUAUUAAAAUUUUUUUUAUACACUUAGCAUACCCAAUAAUCCAAAUAAUAUCAAAUUUUCAACCAUAGAUGUCAUGCCAAUUGUACGAACUAGCCAAAAUUGCUAGUCCUAAUUAUAUUUUAUAAAAC